UUUUUUACAUCCUAUGCACUUUCUCAUCCGAUCUGAGGUCUCAUUGUAAGAAAGAGGAUCUGGAAGACUUUUAAACAAUUGCACUCGUUCUUUUCAGUCGAGGCCAACCAAGGACAAAGGGAAAAAUGAUCCCACAUCUUUUGCCUGGCGGUGCAUAGUUUGUUAAGUCCUAUUGAACGAUAUAUCUUAAAGAUGUUUUAUAUCUACAAAGUCAAAUGGGG